UCCUCUUUACAGAGGCAGUUUGUUCCGAGUCCCCGGCAUUACCCGCUGGUAACAGAACAUGAGGGUUGCGCUCGUUGCGGGACUUAACCCAACAUUUCACAACACGAGCUGACGACAGCCAUGCACCACCUGUGUAUCACCUUCGAAAGCGACUCCGUUUCGGGAGCUUGCAGAUACAUGUCAAGCCCUGGUAAGGUUCUUCGCGUUGCAUCGAAUUAAGCCAUAUGCUCCACCGCUUGUGCGGGCCCCCGCCAAUUCCUUUGAGUUUCAACCUUGCGGCCGUAGUUCCCAGGCGGUUCACUUAAUGCGUUAGCUUCGAUACUGAGUGCCUAAUUGCACCCAACAUCCAGUUCGCAUCGUUUAGGGCGUGGACUAC
rnacentral:misc_RNA from 1 species